GACGAACGCUGGCGGCGUGCUUAACACAUGCAAGUCGAACGAAGUGGCGAACGGGUGAGUAACGCGUAAUCAACCUGCCCUUCAGAGGGGGACAACAGUUGGAAACGACUGCUAAUACCGCAUACUGAAGGAGGGGAUUGCGUCGGAUUAGCUAGUUGGAGGGGUAACGGCCAACCAAGGCGAUGAUCAGUAGACAGUCUGAGAGGAUGAACGGCAACAGUGUGACGGAUACAAGGCACAGACGCCUACGGGAGGCAGCAGUGGGGAGUCUUCCGCAAUGGACGAAAGUCUGACGGAGCAACGCCGCGUGAGUGAUGACGGCCUUCGGGUUGUAAAGCUCUGUUGAUCAUGACGCGGUACCGAAAUGGAAAGCCACGGCUAACUACGUGCCAGCAGCCGCGGUAGUUC
rnacentral:rRNA from 1 species